AGAAGGCGGAAGGUAGAUAGCGGCUGAAGGGGACACAAGCAGAAUCAGACUGCGGACACGAAGCAACAAAGCUAAGUCGGAGCAACAGACAGCAUUACGGGAUUGUAGGUGGAGGCGGAGACAGAUUCCAGUCUUGGGUCAGGAAGACUUGAAGAUAAGUAACCUACACAGUAUUGCAAGUAUCCUCAAUAUUUUUAGUUUCUCUUGUUUCUUUUUU